UACGUAGGGUGCAAGCGUUGUCUGGAAUUAUUGGGCGUAAAGAGCUUGUAGGCGGUUUUGUCGCGUCUGCUGUGAAAAAUCCGGGGCUCAACCCCGGACUUGCAGUGGGUACGGGGCAGACUAGAGUGUGGUAGGGGAGACUGGAAUUCCUGGUGUAGCGGUGAAAUGCGCAGAUAUCAGGAGGAACACCGAUGGCGAAGCAGGUCUCUGGGCCACUACUGACGCUGAGAAGCGAAAGCAUGGGGAGCGAACAGGA
rnacentral:rRNA from 1 species